GACGAACGCUGGCGGCGCGCCUAACACAUGCAAGUCGAACGAGAGAUGAAGAGCUUGCUCUUCAAAUCGAGUGGCGAACGGGUGAGUAACGCGUGAGGAACCUGCCUCAAAGAGGGGGACAACAGUUGGAAACGACUGCUAAUACCGCAUAAGCCCACGGCUCGGCAUCGAGCAGAGGGAAAAGGAGCAAUCCGCUUUGAGAUGGCCUCGCGUCCGAUUAGCUAGUUGGUGAGGUAACGGCCCACCAAGGCGACGAUCGGUAGCCGGACUGAGAGGUUGAACGGCCACAUUGGGACUGAGACACGGCCCAGACUCCUACGGGAGGCAGCAGUGGGGAAUAUUGCACAAUGGGGGAAACCCUGAUGCAGCGACGCCGCGUGGAGGAAGAAGGUCUUCGGAUUGUAAACUCCUGUUGUUGAGGAAGAUAAUGACGGUACACACAGAAUAAGCCACGGCUAACUACGUG
rnacentral:rRNA from 1 species